rnacentral:rRNA from 1 species
GACGAACGCUGGCGGCGUGCUUAACACAUGCAAGUCGAACGGAAAGGCCCUGCUUUUGUGGGGUGCUCGAGUGGCGAACGGGUGAGUAACACGUGAGUAACCUGUCCUUGACUUUGGGAUAACUUCAGGAAACUGGGGCUAAUACCGGAUAGGAGCUCUUGCUGCAUGGGGGGGGUUGGAAAGUUUCGGCGGUUGGGGAUGGACUCGCGGCUUAUCGGCUUGUUGGUGGGGUAGUGGCUUACCAAGGCUUUGACGGGUAGCCGGCCUGAGAGGGUGACCGGCCACAAUGGGACUGAGGUACGGCCCAGACUCCUACGGGAGGCAGCAGUGGGGAGUAUUGCACAGUGGGCGGGAGCCUGAUGCAGCGACGCCGCGUGCGGGAAGACGGCCUUCGGGUUGUAAACCGCUUUCGCCUGAGACGAAGCGUGAGUGACGGUAAUGAGUAAAGAAGCACCGGCUAACUACGUG